GAUAUUUCCAACUCUAAUUAUAGUAUUUUGGUUCUUGUGUAUAAAGUUAGAAUCAUAAAUAAUAGUCAACGUUAAACUGGUACACAAUUAAAAACAUUUUAUUUAAGCCUAUCUAUAGUCUUCAAAAAGUUGACGACUCUACAUGUUUCGACGUUACAACGUCAUCCUUUGUCGU